rnacentral:rRNA from 1 species
CAAAAGCGUAUAUUAAAGUUGUUGCAGUUAAAAAGCUCGUAGUUGAACCUUGGGCUUGGCUGGCCGGUCCAUCUUUUUUGAUGCGUACUGGACCCAGCCGAGCCUUUCCUUCUGGCUAGCCUUUUGGCGAACCAGGACUUUUACUUUGAAAAAAUUAGAGUGUUCAAAGCAGGCCUUUGCUCGAAUAUAUUAGCAUGGAAUAAUAGAAUAGGACGUUAUGGUUCAAUUUUGUUGGUUUCUAGGACCAUCGUAAUGAUUAAUAGGGACGGUCGGGGGUAUCAGUAUUCAGUUGUCAGAGGUGAAAUUCUUGGAUUUACUGAAGACUAACUACUGCGAAAGCAUUUACCAAGGACGUUUUCAUUAA